rnacentral:rRNA from 1 species
AGAGUUUGAUCCUGGCUCAGGAUGAACGCUGGCGGCGUGCCUAAUACAUGCAAGUCGAGCGAACGGACGAGAAGCUUGCUUCUCUGAUGUUAGCGGCGGACGGGUGAGUAACACGUGGAUAACCUACCUAUAAGACUGGGAUAACUUCGGGAAACCGGAGCUAAUACCGGAUAAUAUUUUGAACCGCAUGGUUCAAAAGUGAAAGACGGUCUUGCUGUCACUUAUAGAUGGAUCCGCGCUGCAUUAGCUAGUUGGUAAGGUAACGGCUUACCAAGGCAACGAUGCAUAGCCGACCUGAGAGGGUGAUCGGCCACACUGGAACUGAGACACGGUCCAGACUCCUACGGGAGGCAGCAGUAGGGAAUCUUCCGCAAUGGGCGAAAGCCUGACGGAGCAACGCCGCGUGAGUGAUGAAGGUCUUCGGAUCGUAAAACUCUGUUAUUAGGGAAGAACAUAUGUGUAAGUAACUGUGCACAUCUUGACGGUACCUAAUCAGAAAGCCACGGCUAACUACGUGCCAGCAGCCGCGGUAAUACGUAGGUGGCAAGCGUUAUCCGGAAUUAUUGGGCGCAAAGCGCGCGUAGGCGGUUUUUUAAGUCUGAUGUGAAAGCCCACGGCUCAACCGUGGAGGGUCAUUGGAAACUGGAAAACUUGAGUGCAGAAGAGGAAAGUGGAAUUCCAUGUGUAGCGGUGAAAUGCGCAGAGAUAUGGAGGAACACCAGUGGCGAAGGCGACUUUCUGGUCUGUAACUGACGCUGAUGUGCGAAAGCGUGGGGAUCAAACAGGAUUAGAUACCCUGGUAGUCCACGCCGUAAACGAUGAGUGCUAAGUGUUAGGGGGUUUCCGCCCCUUAGUGCUGCAGCUAACGCAUUAAGCACUCCGCCUGGGGAGUACGACCGCAAGGUUGAAACUCAAAGGAAUUGACGGGGACCCGCACAAGCGGUGGAGCAUGUGGUUUAAUUCGAAGCAACGCGAAGAACCUUACCAAAUCUUGACAUCCUUUGACAACUCUAGAGAUAGAGCUUUCCCCUUCGGGGGACAAAGUGACAGGUGGUGCAUGGUUGUCGUCAGCUCGUGUCGUGAGAUGUUGGGUUAAGUCCCGCAACGAGCGCAACCCUUAAGCUUAGUUGCCAUCAUUAAGUUGGGCACUCUAAGUUGACUGCCGGUGACAAACCGGAGGAAGGUGGGGAUGACGUCAAAUCAUCAUGCCCCUUAUGAUUUGGGCUACACACGUGCUACAAUGGACAAUACAAAGGGCAGCGAAACCGCGAGGUCAAGCAAAUCCCAUAAAGUUGUUCUCAGUUCGGAUUGUAGUCUGCAACUCGACUACAUGAAGCUGGAAUCGCUAGUAAUCGUAGAUCAGCAUGCUACGGUGAAUACGUUCCCGGGUCUUGUACACACCGCCCGUCACACCACGAGAGUUUGUAACACCCGAAGCCGGUGGAGUAACCUUUUAGGAGCUAGCCGUCGAAGGUGGGACAAAUGAUUGGGGUGAAGUCGUAACAAGGUAACC